AAAAAAAAGAUCAAUGCAACGAAAUGUUUUUUUGCCAUAACAACAGUCCAUGUGUAUCGCAGGGCCGGGGCGUGACGACCUUAUUCCUGACAUUGCACAAUAAUGCUGCAAAUGAAGCGGAGCACAAACAUGCGGCAGCUGACACACAAGCUGACACUGCUGCGCUUUGACCCAGGACUGGUUCCUCAGCCCUGCCAUAAUCGCGUGGCUGAUAAUAAACGGUUGCUUCUUCACCUGCCUGUGCCGGAGCUUCCUGAGCUGAUGAUAUAUAUGUGGGACAACGGGGUGGAGAUGACAAUGUAGGUGUGGAGGAAGUCAAAUGCAGGUGUGUGUGUGUGCUGUCCCAGGUGGGUGCUGACAGACCGGCAGGUAAACAGGCAGGUUGGUCUCUGAUCUCACCUGUUGGAGCAGACACAGCAGCGCCUGCAGGGCCUCUGCAGCGGAAACGUGUUCUUUAUGUGAUGCUGGAAAAGCCAGAUCAGCUCUUCUUCUCUUCUCUUGUUGAGCAGUGAGGUGACUGCAGUGUAUUCUUUUCUCUUUUUUUUUGCCAGUAAACCUUGAGUUUAGUUUCCGUGAGAUGACUUCAGAUACGGACGGUUUCGGUAGCACUUGGGGGUUUUGGUGGGGUUUUGUGUACAGCUGCUGAUCCGUCACUAAUUCUUUAAGUUUUGUAAUUAGAUUUCGGGUUAUUAAAGGAGUCUUCUCUUCUCUUUCUCCCAGGUGCAAAAGGGGGGCGGGCCCCAAAGGGAGGAAGAAGAAAUCCUUGGGACCACGGCAACGCAGGGACAGACGAGGGUCCCUCAUUUUAAAAAAAAACACAUAACCUCGAGGUCCGGAGGAACCAUAUUUUCACUGGACGACCCAGGCUCGGCGUCCCAUGUUGACAAGCAUCUGCUGUGCCGAAACGGCCCGAAGCGAGACCCUGAAUCCGUGCCAGCUGCAGGGGGUGCUGCUCUGUCGCUGACCCUGACCUCUGAACUUCCUGAGUUUGUGGAAAAGCCAUCGACACUUGGAAUGUCCAGAAUGCGAGGGGAAGCGAGAGUCUUUUGGAGCCACGCCCCCCUGACGGCGGGUCAAACUUCAGUGAUUGGUUCAUCCCUGGGGGUCAGAGGGCAAUUGCAAUCCUGUCACUCCUCUGAAGAAAGGUCGGGGGUCAACUUCCACCGGAGCUCUCUUUUUCCUCCCAUCUCCCGUGUCCGAGGAGGGACGGACCAUCAAAGUCGAAAGAUUCAUCGAAAUUGUCCACACUGGGAAAAAAAGCAAGAAUAACGUCCAUCUGGUGGGACUGUGGGAGGAAGCCAGGAUGCCCCCGAACAGAACCCACGUGCACACACGGGGAAGAACGCGCAGACUCCAUAGGAAAAGGCCCUUGAUCGAACCGGUGACCUUGUUACUGUGAGGCAACAACGCUAUAGCCACUG